UUAAGGUGAUCGCGACUGUGACAACACGCGACUCUCUGCGCAUUUUUUUGUAAGGAUUGUGAGUGCCAAUUUUUUACAACGAUUUUGACUUGUUUCGUAAUGAUGAAUCUUGCAUUCAAUCUUGGAACUGAAGGCCCAUCUCAUACAUUGCGGAACAUACUUCUGAUAAUUACAAACGGAAUAUGGGGAAUCUGGUAGAAC